rnacentral:tRNA from 1 species
UCCCUGGUGGCUAAGACAAUAAAGAAUCUGUCUGCAAAGUAGGAAACCCGGGUUUGAUCCCUGGCUUGGGAA